ensembl:lncRNA
AAGCAUACUGGGUAACAAACUGUAACACCGUUUGGUAAACAUUAAGAUCUAAAGAAUAAUUCCGCUCCAGGCCCUGAAGAUAGGCAUCAUUUAGGACUUCACUUAUCCUAGGCAAGGUAGGCUAUUACCUUGGAACUGUCCCAUGGGGAAGACUGCUGGUUCUCUUUCUUUUAAAGUUUUAAGCAUUAUUUGCAGUUUAUUUGAGGCCUCCUGACUAGCUGUGAUCUAGGGGCAUUUUUAAUCAGUAUGUUAAACUGUAAUUAGUUUGGGCAUGUAGGAGUUCCUUCUUUGGGGAGCUGAUUUCACUAUAAACAAUAUUUUAUUAAACAUUUUUUAAAAAAAGGAGUGUCCACUAUAGAGGAUCCUCCCUCCCUUCUUGCAUUUGUCACGAAGAAAAUGUACUGCUAAAUCACAUAUAAAUUUUAACAAAAUAUAUAACCCAAAUACAUCAAUAAGGACUUUUGUCAUGUCCCAAACAAGGGUCUCCAGCUCUAUUAAGUGAAGAAAAUUUUCCCAAAAUUCAAAAUUUUCAAACAUCCUCAAACCUAUUUAAAAGAUCAUUACACUGAACAAAUUUCCACUAGAACAUGAAAGUGUUCACUGAAAAAAAGCUUUCCAAGUAGACUGUAUUCAUAUAUAGCAGCUCUCUAUAUACGUAUAUAAUUAUAUAUACGUGUGUGUAUAUAUAUCAUUAAACAUUUCUUGUGUCUAUAGGAAAGCUACUAACUUUUUAAAAAUUUCAGCAUAUAAAUAGCUAUUAAGACAAUUCAUAAACUCAAACUAUUCAACUGCAUCUCAAAACAUCAAAAGAGAGACAGUUGCAUAAAAUCUCAAUGGAAAUAACUGAAAACAGCAAAGAAACCAAAAAUAACCCCUAAAAUUAAAAGUAUACACAUACACACACAAUUGAUAACAUAAAGCAACUUGAUAAUGAGAUAACUGCAGGACACUCUACAAACUAAUUAUUAACCGUUCAAUUAUACUUUCAUUCUAGAGUAAAAACAAUAGUUUAAAUCUCUUUGGUCCACACAUUAGUACAUUUAAUGUAUCCAAGUUAUUUUCUCGUUAAUUGUGGAUUAUGAAUUGUGCUCCGUAUUACUUUACCAUAACUUUCUUAAAUCAUAAAAUAACCAUAUGUUAAAAUAAGUAUUCAUUCUGUAGAUCUGAAACAAUUUCCACAUGCUAUUGGUAAUUCCUCUGGAAGAAUAUGAAUGCUUUAAAUUAUUGACAGAACAGCCAAAGUAAAGGAAGAACACAAUUCAAGUCUGGCAGAAAAGAAAAAAUCAGAUUGCCUUGGAAAAGUUAUGCCUAAAUUUAAUUUGUAAAAACAUCAGGAAUAUAAAGAACACAUGAAAACAAUUUCAGGCUUGUACAUAAUAAAAAUAAUCAAUUUUAAGAUUUACUUCAAAGAUCCAUGCAUAGUUGCUUAUUAUUUUUUUAAAACAAAUUUCCAAGCCAGUGUUAGUAAAUCCCCCAAAUUGGCUUUCAUACUGAGAAAAGUACUGCCUCUCCAACUUCUCAUUGAUAAGUUGUGGAUAUACUCUGCUUCUGGGUAGAGAAAAAGUGGUAUGGGUAACAAAGUUCUUAAAUUUGAAUGUAAUAUAACAAAGGCCUACUUUUAUAGCAAAUUGGAUUAAACAGCAAGGCUACCAGGUUAUUUUUUGAUUAUCCUUAACUUCAUAUUCUCUGCAAUGUCUCCUUUGAGUUAGCACAUUAUAAUUGUACCUGGUGCCAAAAAAAUCUCAUUAGGAGACCAGUUCAACCCUACUUCCUAUACACUUACAAUUACGUAUUGCCAGAACCUCUUAAAAUGUUUUAUAUAAAGGACAUUUCCACUUUUGAUAUAUGCCCUCACAGAUUCUUCCAGUAAACUUAAAUCAUAACUUCAUAUCAUAAAUCAAGAACUGAACAAGUGAAUUACUCAAAUACAUGCUCAGUACUG